rnacentral:snRNA from 1 species
ACACGUUUCCGUUUCAUACAG